UUGUCGGAAGAGCACAUUGUAGUGUAUGCGACAGAAUAAAGCAGAGAUUUUUGUGACCAGAAGAGUGAGUUGCACCUGAGUGUCGUUCUUCACAGCGUCGAACCCUGUGCAGCGGGACACGCUACAACUGGUGGCAGCGGCGAGACGCUGGAUAGCUGUAGAAAAACAGUUUUCGAAGAAAAACUGAACUCCGCACUUGGAAAGGAUGAAUGUGAAAAGAAUGAUGGUUGAGGUGUACGCAGCAGUGAAUUACCGCGGAGAUCAACGUCAGGUUUAGAAGAAGGAACGGGAGGAAACAUUUCACCGGAAAAAUCCCCAAGACAACCAUGUGUUUGUCGGAUCUAAAGACGUACUGAACCCAAGUAGUGUGACAGACGUUUCUCGGGGCAUGAAACCAAAGUGAAAAGAGCAGAGUGCUGACGCUUCUGUUGAAUGAUGUUACAAACAAGGGAAUUCAAAGC